rnacentral:rRNA from 1 species
CGUGCCUAAUACAUGCAAGUUGAACGCAACAAAGACACCAGAGCUUGCUCUACCGUCUUUGUUGAGUAGCGAACGGGUGAGUAACGCGUGGGUAACCUGCCUUAUAGCGGGGGAUAACUAUUGGAAACGAUAGCUAAUACCGCAUAACAAUAGAGAUUGCAUAAUCUUAUUUGAAAGUGCCAACUGGUACACUAUGAGAUGGACCCGCGUUGUAUUAGCUAGUUGGUAGUGUAAUGGACUACCAAGGCGAUGAUACAUAGCCGACCUGAGAGGGUGAUCGGCCACAUUGGGACUGAGACACGACCCAAACUCCUACGGGAGGCAGCAGUAGGGAAUCUUCGGCAAUGGACGAAAGUCUGACCGAGCAACGCCGCGUGAGUGAAGAAGGUUUUCGGAUCGUAAAACUCUGUUGUUAGAGAAGAAUGUUGAUUAGAGUGGAAAAUUAAUCAAGUGACGGUAUCUAACCAGAAAGGGACGGCUAACUACGUG